UAAGGAAUAUUGGUCAAUGGACGCAAGUCUGAACCAGCCAUGCCGCGUGAAGGAUGAAGGUCCUCUGGAUUGUAAACUUCUUUUAUCUGGGACGAAAACGGGAUUUUUAUCUCAAUUGACGGUACCAGAGGAAUAAGCACCGGCUAACUCCGUGCCAGCAGCCGCGGUAAUUCGGAGGGUGCGAGCGUUAUCCGGAUUUACCGGGUUUAAAGGGUGCGUAGGUGGGCUUAUAAGUCAGUGGUGAAAUCUCCGAGCUUAACUUGGAAACUGCCGUUGAUACUAUAGGUCUUGAAUUAUCUGGAGGUAAGCGGAAUAUGUCAUGUAGCGGUGAAAUGCUUAGAUAUGACAUAGAACACCAAUUGCGAAGGCAGCUUACUACAUAUAAAUUGACGCUGAGGCACGAAAGCGUGGGGAUCAAACA
rnacentral:rRNA from 1 species